CCCCCGGAGCCCGGUGCUGCUGCUGCUACCCUGGGGGGGAGGGGGAGGAGGAGAAGGAGGGGGGGCACUUACCUUACAGGGUGGGCUGGGGCUGGCUCUGACUCCCCUCAGCCCCGCCCCUUCCGCCCUAGGCCCACACUGGAGUCCCUAGAGACCAACAGACAAACAAAGAGCUUUUGGACAAAUAAUCUGAAUUUAAACUGACUGGGGGCCUUCUUUCUGAUCCAGCAAUUGGACAGGACCCUCUGACCAAGGGAGGCCCCAAUCCUUCCUGAGACGGAUUCGAAGGACUUGACCUAUUGACCGGGUGGGCCCCGCCCGGAGAGGCCGAAAGAAUCACUGUAUUAUCUUUUCCCUCCUGCUUGCUUUACUUUCCAGGUAGACUAGUCCCAGUGGGACUUCGCCACACCAGCCCAGAGACGAUCUGGAGGCUGCUAGGCAUUCUGAACUCCGGCUUGCAUCAGUGGCGAGCUGAAAGCACUGGAAGGAUCAGGCCCUAUGCAAAGCAAUAACUGUGAUAAAGUGGGACUAUGCUCCGAGUACAAUAUGUACCGGGCAGAGGCUAGUGUGUAUACCUCCGUCCAUUCUGAGUACCUGCUACCAUGCUCCCUCGUCACGGUCAUCUACCACAAGCAGUGAUAUAGAGCUGAGCUAUUUGAGCCAUCAUGGGGUCCCAAUGAUCUUGUAUAGGCAGCAGGUUUAAAACGAACAAAAGGAAGUAUUUCUUCAUACGACGCACAGUCAACCUGUGGAACUCCUUGCCAGAGGAUGUUGUGAAGACCCAGACUAUAACAGGGUUCAAAAAAGAACUAGUCACAACUUCCUACUUCUUGUGCUGUUCUGCCGUAUGUGGACGCUUCUCAUGGGCGGACACACCGCCGCCCACGGCUGGAAGAAGGAGAACUCCAGCACAUCCCAUACAUGUGACCUUACCCCCUCCGACCCGACUCGCAAUUGGGAAGUGGGAUGGAGUUGUGCAAUUGACUCUGUAAUUGCAGAACUGUAACCCUGUGCUCAUCUCCCCCGUCAUCGCAUGAUGCCUGGUCGUCCUGUGCCCGUGUCAGCAGUCUCCUGUGCAGGACUCCGUGAACACCUCUGUGUGGGUCAGCGCGAAAAGCACUCAGUCCGUACCAUGUGCCACUCCUCCACCAUACUCAGUCUCAUUCAGUCUCCGGAGAACCUUUCUCUGAUUCGUCUUAUUUAUCCUCGGCCACUCCAAGCUUUCCUGUUCCAGCCUCGUGGAUCCUGAGUUUUGGUAUUUGCAGGGAUGUCUUCCAGCCGCAGGUCGUUCUCAUUAGAUACACCCGAGAGCUCAGUUGCUCCGCCCUUGGUUGGUAUCCAGCCAACAAGCCAACAGGCUCCUGUAGUCCAGCCGAGUGAAGCGGCAUCUUCCUUUGAGUGUUUCUCACAGUAGGGAAGGAGCUGGAUUCAGUCGUGAUGAUUAUAAAAGGGAUUCUUUGUGAGGUUCCUGGACACAAACAGAUACUGUCGUUCUCUCUAGCUUCCAAGCGGGGGCUCCAGGGGCUAUUUAAAGGGCCGGGGCUCCAGCUGCCUCUGCCGCCCCGGUCCUUUAAAUAGCCGCUGGACCCCACCGCUUCUCCCAGGCUCCGGCAGCUAAUUAAAGGACCAGGGCAAUAGAAGCAGGGGAGCCCCGGCCCUUUAAAUAGCCCCCGGAGCCCAGUGCUGCUGCUGUUACCCCGGUGGGGGAGGGGGAGGAGGAGGACAGGGGGGGCACUUACCUUACAGGGUGGGCUGGCUCUGACUCCCCUCAGCCCAGCCCCUUCUGCCCUAAGCCCCGCCCCUUCCGGGGGCCAGAGCUGGCCCCAGCGUGCCAGUAAGUCACUCGACUUACUUUCACCCCUGAGUUUAUGUUUCAUUGUGCGCCAGGGUCUGUGUUUAAUUCCCUGAGGGAGAGGGACCACAGCCCCCCCAGGAGCUCAGAACAGUGGGGAGUGACUGGGCAAAUUCACCUCCCAAGAGGUACCCCCACCUGGACAGGCUUACGUAUACUGGUUCACACUGGAGUCCCUGGAGACCAACAGACAAACAAAGGGCUUUUGGACAAAUAAUCUGCAUUUAAACUGACUUGGGACCUUCUUUCUGAUCCAGCAAAUGGACAGGACCGUCUGACCAAGGAAGGCCCCAAUCCUUCCUGAGACGGAUUUGAAGGACUUGACCUAUUCAUGGGGGCUCUUGUUCUGAGCUAACAGCUGUUAUGAACUUCUAACCAUAAAACCCCCCCAUGGUGGCGUUUGAAGCACUGACUCUUCCCAGAGACCGAGUUGAAGUUGGGGGUGAUUUCUGGUCAGCUUAUUGGCAUGCAGUCCAAGCACAACGAAGUGAUGAUCGUCAGCAAAUAUGCACUCCGUGAGCACUGCUGUAGACACUCUUACUACCUGACUUUGCUUAACGCUACUCUAUGUGGCUGUUAAACACCUUUGGGAUGAUGACCCAUGUGAUUAUUUAAUGAUGUCACACUCACCUUGCUGUAACACGCAAGCUCCUCAUGCAGCUGCAGAGCGCUUUGUAGACAAGCUGUGAUGAAAUAGAAACUUUCUGUAAUAUUUUUACGCUUCCUAUGGGUGCCUCAGUUUCCCUCUGUACUUUCCAUUGUUACCUAUUGCCAAAGUGUUAAAUCUGCUCUUGGGGCACAGCUGGAGAGAUGAGGUGUUGGGUCACUGAGGUUGAACGAAUGGGUGAUUAAAGGGCUGGCUGCAACCAACCCACGUCAAUGGAGGGUCCACAAAGACAAUGGAAGCCCCAAGGACUGAGCCACUGACACCUACCCCCUGAAUCUCCGGCAGGCAGAACAUGUGAGCUCAGCGUGGGUCUGCAGGACUUCGACAAUGGACUCUCACCUGGGACUGACACAGAGAGGCAGGGCCAGAAAUGGAUUCCAUAGCAUCUUGGCUGGCUGAUUAUGCUGACUCGGCGAGCAUGGACUAUGUUCCAGUUGCCUAAUAAACCUUGCUCUGUUUUGAAAAAGCUGCCGGGUGUCACUGCCGAUACUUAGAGCCCUGCAGAUCUGUGGCGAUGUGCUCUAUAUCCGUGGACCAUGUUUGCUGAUCGGAUGUGGACACCCAUUUUAUACCCAUGCAGGGCUCUCCCAAUACUUGCCGAGGUGCAUUGGUCCCUGAAGAGAGUCAAAGUCUCCCUCCAGGAGUCUCUCUCAGUUGGGCUCACUGGGCAGAGCUCAUGGUGUGAAACAGGAGUGUGGGAGCCCAGAGGCUCGG